rnacentral:rRNA from 1 species
GACGAACGCUGGCGGCGUGCUUAACACAUGCAAGUCGAACGGAAAGGCCCUGCUUUUGUGGGGUGCUCGAGUGGCGAACGGGUGAGUAACACGUGAGUAACCUGCCCUUGACUUUGGGAUAACUUCAGGAAACUGGGGCUAAUACCGGAUAGGAGCUCCUGCUGCAUGGUGGGGGUUGGAAAGUUUCGGCGGUUGGGGAUGGACUCGCGGCUUAUCAGCUUGUUGGUGGGGUAGUGGCUUACCAAGGCCUUGACGGGUAGCCGGCCUGAGAGGGUGACCGGCCACAUUGGGACUGUGAUACGGCCCAGGCUCCUACGGGAGGCAGCAGUGGGGAAUAUUGCACAAUGGGCGGAAGCCUGAUGCAGCGACGCCGCGUGCGGGAUGACGGCCUUCGGGUUGUAAACCGCUUUCGCCUGUGACGAAGCGUGAGUGACGGUAAUGGGUGAAGAAGCACCGGCUAACUACGUG